GAGAGAGGGCACUUCUAAAAAUAAGAGCCUUUUGGAGGAGAAGAAGGAGAAGGGGAGUGAAAGAGAAAGACUUUGACUUUUUUUUUUUCUAAAGGCCUUUAAUUAACCUCUUUUUAGGAAGAAACUCGGAGCAGUUUUGAGAAGCACACUUUAUUAAAAGCUGGAGGACUGAAAGAGCGAGAGAGGGAGGGAGGGAGAGAGAGAGAGAGAGAGAGAGCGGUAAAACGAAUGGAAUUUAUGCUCAGUCAUGUUUGUCGUCCGCUUUUGUCCUGAAACCUCAGAACCUCCUCGGCUUUUAACAUUCACGGCGGCAUUUUAAGUGCUGCUUGACUUUCAGAUGUGAUUAGAUAGCCUGUGUGUGUGUGUGUGUGUGUGUGUGUGAGAGAGUGAGAGUGAGACGGCAUGGCGUUUUCAGAUUUCAGGUCUAAGGGACUUGAGGAGGUGGAGGAGUCGAUGUGAAGAGAGUGAGACAGAAGAAAUGCAGGAUGAAGAGAGAGUUCUUUUCUUUUUUUUUUUUCCUUUUCUUUUCCCUCCCACACGCCCCACACCCACUGUGGACAUGGGGAGGUCGGGGGGGGGGAUGAUGAGGGAAAGAAGUGAGAGAAAGAGUGAGAAUCGGUGGAGGGGGCUAACGAGAACCAUCUGUAGAAAUCUGACACUUAGAGCGAGAUUGAGAGAGGGAGAGGGAAAGAGGGAGGGAGAGAGAGAGAGAGAGAGAGCGCAAAAAUUUAUGAAGGAUAACAAAGAAAGCCAUAGAUGACUUUAGCUGCUGAUGCUCCGUGCCAGGUUUCUGUUUGGUCAGUGAGUGUUGUUCACGCUCUCUAUCGGUGGAAGGAAAGAAAAGGAAAGGAAAGAGAGCGAAAGAAUGCCAAGAAGCGAGAAAGGAAGGAAGGUAGGAAGUAAGGAAGGACGGACGUACGGACGAGUGAAUGAAAUGAAGGAAGACAUGGAAAGAGGAGCGCUCUCUGUAUUGAUGCUUUGGCAAUGUAGAAAGAAAGAAAGAAAUGAGAGCCAACUGAAGUAAGGAAAGAAGGGAGAGAGUUGUGGGGGGGGGUGAAGAAUGUAGUGAAAGAAAGGUAAGAUCAUGAAGGAAGAGUGAAACGAAGGAAGGAAGGAAGAGAGCGGGAGGUAGGAAGUCUAAGGAAGGACGACUGAAAGGAAGGAGGAGAGCAAAAGGAAGAAGAGAGUGAAGGAUGGAAGGGAGCGAGAGAUAGAAAGAAAAGGAAAGAGAGCCGGUGGAAUGGAGGAAAGGAGGAGGAGAGCGGGGGGGGGGGGGGGGGGGGGUAAAGAAUAUAGUGAAAGAGAAGUUGUUGAAAGAAGAGGAUGGAAGGAAGAGAAAAAGGAAGGAAGGAAGAGGAUAUAAGAAAGGAGAGAAGAUAUUGAAAGAGGUGACGGAACAAGAAAAGGAAGGGGGCGGAAGGAUGGAUGAAAUGAGGGAAGAACGACAGGCACGGAUCUGUUUAAUAAAUAGAUAAUAGUUAGGACAGAGAGUUAGAAGUGUUGUGUAAAGGUGUGUGUGUGUGUGUGUGUGUGUGUUUCAUCAGGUGUCUGAACGUUCGCUCUGUUUAAGGCGGCCCCGAGUUCCCCCCUGCACAGUUCCUUUAUCUUAACCCCCAUACCUCCUUAAACUUCAUCACAGAGUCAGUUCUCUCACCUGCUUUAUCUGGUUAUUCACUUCCAGAGUAAAAAGAGAGAGAGAGAGAGAGAGAGAGAGAGAGAGAGAAGGAAUACUUACAUCCGCUCUAACGUAAGCGAGAGCAGGACGUUAAAACGCAGCUGUUUACGGAUAAAUAAAGAAAUGCAGGCGUAGCUGGUGUUGUAUAAGAGGAAUAAAACACUGCGUACAGAACAGAAGUCGUCCGUAUAUCGCCGUAGAUUCGUUUCCUGUAGUGUUCUAUUCUUUAUUUAUCCUUUAAUCAAGCGGAGGAUCGUUGCUUUGUUAAAAAAAAAAAAAAAAAAAAGUUUUAUUUCGCGUAAUUAGCGUCAUUUCUAUUCGGAUCACGAAUAGAAUAUGUCCGACGCCGGCCGGCCAAUCAGAGUACUUCCUGUGUUUCAGUGUGGAAUUUCUGUGUGUCCGACGGUGCAGGAGGUAAAAGUGUUUCCCAAAUGGUGUUAUUGUUACCCACAGUGUGUGGGUGAGUGUGAGCGUGUCAGUGUUUAUCGUGUUUUCCUAACACCUUCGAGAGGCGUGUCCGUCAAGCUGGUUUAGCAAUCACGGCGCAACAAAGGCGCGACAAACGUCAAAAAGAAUGCGCGGUUACGAGCCGGUCAUGUGCUGCUGUGAUUAAACCCGAGGCCUCCCGCGUCUUUAACGGACCGGAGCUAACGCGGCCAAUAAAACCAGUUAGUCACAAAAGGGAAAGUUCUUCCCUGAUAGAAGGGGGGGGGGUGUUCGCACCCUGCAGUGGGACAGGGCGGCUUGACACACACACACACACACACACACACACACACACACGGAGACAAGAACCGUCAUGCUCAUAUACUCGGACUAAUCUUGAACAGACUAAUUAUGUCACGCUUCGGAUUUUUCAGUGUUAAGAUCUUCUCGUGUGUGUGUGUGUUUCGAGUGUAGGGGUGCCAGAACUUUUUAGCAACACAAAGUCCCAGGAUAAAUCCUUGUUUAUAUGAAAGGACUCAUCCGCAGAACCUUUUGAUUUUUUUUUUAUUCCCCUGUAAAGUUGAGUGUGUAGUCUCUCUCUCUCUGUCUGUCUGUCUGUCUCUCUAUCUCGCGCUCUGUGUUCUGUCUGUCUCUCUCUGUCUCUCUGUCUCUCUUUCUCACACACACACACACACACGUCCAUGUUGUUGGCAUUACAAUGUAUAUGGAUUGUUAAUAAUGCCAUGCCCCGCCCCCUAACCGUAAACUCCACCUCACCUUACAAAAAGAGAAGAAAAAAAAAAAAAGAGUAAGUUCUCUUAAAAACGCGUGCCUGUAUUUCUCUCGCCGCGGGGACGUUUGCACGUCGCUGAAGGCUACGAAUACUAGACACGCAGAUAAAACUACCGUGCCAGGCGUACAAGUAAAUUCCGAAGGUCUCCGACGCGUCGCGUAAGAGCGGAAGAAAAGAAACGGUGGUGUGAUUUUAUUCCGAAGACGCGGUUUUCGGUGUCACGCUGACGAUUCAGCGGAGCGGGUUCAGGCUGUGAGAGAACCAGCCCGAAACGUCCGAUUAAAAAUAAACACGACGCACGAACAGCUGGCGCUGCGGAGGCCCGCCGUCUGAGGUGUUAAAGUCGCCUUCGUUUUAUUUUAUGUCAUCCAGCGGUUACUGAUGUUUUGAUGGCACGCUAGUCUUCUUUCUGUUCCUCUUUUGUAUCGCUUGUUUUUUUCCCCCUCUGUCGGUGUCUCUGGGCUUCUAAAGUAAUACUCGAGUGAGACUCGCUUGCUCUACCCUUUGUACGAGAGCGCUUGAGUAAUACCGGCGGAAACGAACGUCAUCGCUAUUAAUGACUCGGGGCGGGGGUCGGGGGAUGGGGGGAGAGCGAGAGUGAGGGGCGGAGAGACUGAGAGAGAUACAAGUGAGGGGUGGAUAGAGACACUGAGGGACAGAGAGUUGUUGAUAUUUAUCAUGCCGGUAAAGCAACCUUUUGACUUUGAGUUGAGAGAGAGAGACGAGUAAGAGACCGGAGGGGGAGAGAGAGCUAGAGAGAUGUGAGAGACAAGGAGGGGGGGGGAGCUUUGAGUCAGGGACAGAGAGGGAGAUGGAGAGAUACGAGUGAGGGAUGGAGAGAGAGACUGAGGGGCAGGGAGGGAGGGAGAAAGAGAGAUACGAGUGAGCGAAGGAGAGAGACAGAAAAGGAACGUGAGGGAGAGAGAUAUGAGUGAGGGAUGGAGAGAGACACUAAGGGACGGAGAGGGACAGCGAGAGAGAGAGAUACAAGUGAGGGACUGAGAGAAAGAGACACAGAGGGAGACUGAGAGAGAUACGAGUGAGGGAUGGAGAGAGACACUGAGGGACAGAGAGGGAGAGAGAUACAGAGAAAGGUGAGUGAGAGACAAAGAGAGAGGAGUGUGAGACAGACAAAAGUGAGACAGAUUAGAGGAUGGAGGGAGAAAGAGAGACAGGAGAGUGAGACAGAUUAGAGGAUGGAGGGAGAAAGAGAGACAGGAGAGUGAGACAGAUUAGAGGAUGGAGGGAGAGAGAGACAGAAGAGAGUGAGACAGAUUAGAGGAUGUAGGGAGAGAGAGAGAGAGACAAAGAGAGGCCGAGGAGAGUGAGACAGAUUAGAGGAUUGGGGGAGAGAAAGAGAGACAGAGGAGUGUGAGACAGGAGAGUGAGACAUAUUAGAGGAUGGAGGGAGAAAGAGAGACAGAGGAGAGUGAGACAGAUUAGAGGAUGGAGAGAGAGAGACAGAGGAGAGUGAGACAGAUUAGAGGAUGUAGGGAGAGAGAGAGAGACAGAAGAGAGUGAGACAGAUUAGAGGAUGUAGGGAGAGAGAGAGACAGAGGAGAGUGAGACAGAUUAGAGGAUUGAGGGAGAGAAAGAGAGACAGAGGAGUGUGAGACAGGAGAGUGAGACAGAUUAGAGGAUGGAGAGUGAGACAGAUUAGAGGAUGUAGGGAGAGAGAGAGAGACAGAAGAGAGUGAGACAGAUUAGAGGAUGUAGGGAGAGAGAGACAGAGGAGAGUGAGACAGAUUAGAGGAUUGAGGGAGAGAAAGAGAGACAGAGGAGUGUGAGACAGGAGAGUGAGACAGAUUAGAGGAUGGAGAGAGAGACAGAGGAGAGUGAGACAGAUUAGAGGAUGUAGGGAGAGAGAGAGAGACAGAAGAGAGUGAGACAGAUUAGAGGAUGUAGGGAGAGAGAGAGACAGAGGAGAGUGAGACAGAUUAGAGGAUAUAGGGAGAGAGAGACAGAGGAGAGUGAGACAGAAGAGAGGAUGUAGGGGGAGAGAGACAGAACAGAGAGAGAGAGACAGAUUAGAGGAUGUAGGAAGAGAGAGAGAGACAGGGGAGAGUGAGACAGAAGAGAGGAUGUAGGGGGAGAGAGAGAGACAGGGGAGAGUGAGACAGAAGAGAGGAUGUAGGGGGAGAGAGAGAGACAGGGGAGAGUGAGACAGAAGAGAGGAUGUAGGGGGAGAGAGGGAGAGAGACAGGGGAGAGUGAGACAGAAGAGAGGAUGUAGGGGGAGAGAGACAGGGGAGAGUGAGACAGAAGAGAGGAUGUAGGGGGGGAGAGAGAGAGACAGGGGAGAGUGAGACAGAAGAGAGGAUGUAGGGGGAGAGAGAGAGACAGGGGAGAGUGAGACAGAAGAGAGGAUGUAGGGGGAGAGAGAGUGACAGGGGAGAGUGAGACAGAAGAGAGGAUGUAGGGGGAGAGAGAGAGAGACAGGGGAGAGUGAGACAGAAGAGAGGAUGUAGGGGGAGAGAGAGAGACAGGGGAGAGUGAGACAGAAGAGAGGAUGUAGGGGGAGAGAGAGAGACAGGGGAGAGUGAGACAGAAGAGAGGAUGUAGAGGGAGAGAGAGAGACAGGGGAGAGUGAGACAGAAGAGAGGAUGUAGGGGGGAGAGAGAGACAGGGGAGAGUGAGACAGAAGAGAGGAUGUAGGGGGGAGAGACAGACAGGGGAGAGUGAGACAGAAGAGAGGAUGUAGGGGGGGAGAGAGAGACAGAAGAGAGGAUGUAGGGGGGAGAGACAGACAGGGGAGAGUGAGACAGAAGAGAGGAUGUAGGGGGAGAGAGAGAGACAGGGGAGAGUGAGACAGAAGAGAGGAUGUAGGGGGAGAGUGAGACAGAAGAGAGGAUGUAGGGGGGGAGAGAGAGACAGGGGAGAGUGAGACAGAAGAGAGGAUGUAGGGGGAGAGUGAGACAGAAGAGAGGAUGUAGGGGGGGGGAGAGAGAGACAGGGGAGAGUGAGACAGAAGAGAGGAUGUAGGGGGAGAGAGAGAGACAGGGGAGAGUGAGACAGAAGAGAGGAUGUAGGGGGAGAGUGAGACAGAAGAGAGGAUGUAGGGGGAGAGUGAGACAGAAGAGAGGAUGUAGGGGGAGAGUGAGACAGAAGAGAGGAUGUAGGGGGGGAGUGAGACAGAAGAGAGGAUGUAGGGGGGGAGAGAGAGACAGGGGAGAGUGAGACAGAAGAGAGGAUGUAGGGGGAGAGUGAGACAGAAGAGAGGAUGUAGGGGGGGAGAGAGAGACAGGGGAGAGUGAGACAGAAGAGAGGAUGUAGGGGGAGAGUGAGACAGAAGAGAGGAUGUAGGGGGGGAGAGAGAGACAGGGGAGAGUGAGACAGAAGAGAGGAUGUAGGGGGAGAGUGAGACAGAAGAGAGGAUGUAGGGGGAGAGUGAGACAGAAGAGAGGAUGUAGGGGGGGAGAGAGAGACAGAGGGAGUUUCACAGUGCUGUUUUGCAACGCUGUAAUUUCUCUUUUUCGUGUCAUACUCUGGAAGGUCUGGACCGAAAUAACGCAAUGCAGAUACACGUCCUGCUGUGACCUUACAGGAAUACACACACGUGUGCACACACACACACACACACACACACACACACACACACACACACACACUCACAC